GGUCCCAAGGGUUGGGCUGUUCGCCCAUUAAAGCGGUACGCGAGCUGGGUUCAGAACGUCGUGAGACAGUUCGGUCCCUAUCCGUCGCGGGCGCAGGAAAUUUGAGAGGAGCUGUCCUUAGUACGAGAGGACCGGGAUGGACGCACCGCUGGUGUACCAGUUGUUCUGCCAAGGGCAUCGCUGGGUAGCUAUGUGCGGACGGGAUAAGUGCUGAAAGCAUCUAAGCAUGAAGCCCCCCUCAAGAUGAGAUUUCCCAUUCCGCAAGGAAGUAAGAUCCCUGAAAGAUGAUCAGGUUGAUAGGUCUGAGGUGGAAGUGUGGCGACACAUGGAGCUGACAGAUACUAAUCGAUCGAGGACUUAACCAUAUUU
rnacentral:rRNA from 2 species